rnacentral:rRNA from 2 species
AGAAGCGCAUACGGUGGAUGCCUUGGCAGUCAGAGGCGAUGAAAGACGUGGUAGCCUGCGAUAAGCUUCGGGGAGUCGGCAAACAGACUUUGAUCCGGAGAUCUCUGAAUGGGGGAACCCACCUAGGAUAACCUAGGUAUCUUGUACUGAAUCCAUAGGUGCAAGAGGCGAACCAGGGGAACUGAAACAUCUAAGUACCCUGAGGAAAAGAAAUCAACCGAGAUUCCCUUAGUAGUGGCGAGCGAACGGGGAUUAGCCCUUAAGCUUCAUUGAUUUUAGCGGAACGCUCUGGAAAGUGCGGCCAUAGUGGGUGAUAGCCCCGUACGCGAAAGGAUCUUUGAAGUGAAAUCGAGUAGGACGGAGCACGAGAAACUUUGUCUGAACAUGGGGGGACCAUCCUCCAAGGCUAAAUACUACUGACUGACCGAUAGUGAACCAGUACCGUGAGGGAAAGGCGAAAAGAACCCCGGAGAGGGGAGUGAAAUAGAACCUGAAACCGUAUGCGUACAAGCAGUGGGAGCCUACUUGUUAGGUGACUGCGUACCUUUUGUAUAAUGGGUCAGCGACUUAUAUUCAGUGGCGAGCUUAACCGAAUAGGGUAGGCGUAGCGAAAGCGAGUCUUAAUAGGGCGUUUAGUCGCUGGGUAUAGACCCGAAACCGGGCGAUCUAUCCAUGAGCAGGUUGAAGGUUAGGUAACACUGACUGGAGGACCGAACCCACUCCCGUUGAAAAGGUAGGGGAUGACUUGUGGAUCGGAGUGAAAGGCUAAUCAAGCUCGGAGAUAGCUGGUUCUCCUCGAAAGCUAUUUAGGUAGCGCCUCAUGUAUCACUCUGGGGGGUAGAGCACUGUUUCGGCUAGGGGGUCAUCCCGACUUACCAAACCGAUGCAAACUCCGAAUACCCAGAAGUGCCGAGCAUGGGAGACACACGGCGGGUGCUAACGUCCGUCGUGAAAAGGGAAACAACCCAGACCGCCAGCUAAGGUCCCAAAGUUGUGGUUAAGUGGUAAACGAUGUGGGAAGGCUUAGACAGCUAGGAGGUUGGCUUAGAAGCAGCCAUCCUUUAAAGAAAGCGUAAUAGCUCACUAGUCGAGUCGGCCUGCGCGGAAGAUGUAACGGGGCUCAAACCACACACCGAAGCUGCGGGUGUCACGUAAGUGACGCGGUAGAGGAGCGUUCUGUAAGCCUGUGAAGGUGAGUUGAGAAGCUUGCUGGAGGUAUCAGAAGUGCGAAUGCUGACAUGAGUAACGACAAUGGGUGUGAAAAACACCCACGCCGAAAGACCAAGGGUUCCUGCGCAACGUUAAUCGACGCAGGGUUAGUCGGUUCCUAAGGCGAGGCUGAAAAGCGUAGUCGAUGGGAAACAGGUUAAUAUUCCUGUACUUCUGGUUACUGCGAUGGAGGGACGGAGAAGGCUAGGCCAGCUUGGCGUUGGUUGUCCAAGUUUAAGGUGGUAGGCUGAAAUCUUAGGUAAAUCCGGGGUUUCAAGGCCGAGAGCUGAUGACGAGUCGUCUUUUAGAUGACGAAGUGGUUGAUGCCAUGCUUCCAAGAAAAGCUUCUAAGCUUCAGGUAACCAGGAACCGUACCCCAAACCGACACAGGUGGUCGGGUAGAGAAUACCAAGGCGCUUGAGAGAACUCGGGUGAAGGAACUAGGCAAAAUGGCACCGUAACUUCGGGAGAAGGUGCGCCGGCUAGGGUGAAGGAUUUACUCCGUAAGCUCUGGCUGGUCGAAGAUACCAGGCCGCUGCGACUGUUUAUUAAAAACACAGCACUCUGCAAACACGAAAGUGGACGUAUAGGGUGUGACGCCUGCCCGGUGCCGGAAGGUUAAUUGAUGGGGUUAGCGCAAGCGAAGCUCUUGAUCGAAGCCCCGGUAAACGGCGGCCGUAACUAUAACGGUCCUAAGGUAGCGAAAUUCCUUGUCGGGUAAGUUCCGACCUGCACGAAUGGCGUAACGAUGGCGGCGCUGUCUCCACCCGAGACUCAGUGAAAUUGAAAUCGCUGUGAAGAUGCAGUGUAUCCGCGGCUAGACGGAAAGACCCCGUGAACCUUUACUGUAGCUUUGCACUGGACUUUGAGCCUGCUUGUGUAGGAUAGGUGGGAGGCUUUGAAGCGUGGACGCCAGUUCGCGUGGAGCCAUCCUUGAAAUACCACCCUGGCAUGCUUGAGGUUCUAACUCUGGUCCGUGAUCCGGAUCGAGGACAGUGUAUGGUGGGCAGUUUGACUGGGGCGGUCUCCUCCUAAAGAGUAACGGAGGAGUACGAAGGUGCGCUCAGACCGGUCGGAAAUCGGUCGCAGAGUAUAAAGGCAAAAGCGCGCUUGACUGCGAGACAGACACGUCGAGCAGGUACGAAAGUAGGUCUUAGUGAUCCGGUGGUUCUGUAUGGAAGGGCCAUCGCUCAACGGAUAAAAGGUACUCCGGGGAUAACAGGCUGAUACCGCCCAAGAGUUCAUAUCGACGGCGGUGUUUGGCACCUCGAUGUCGGCUCAUCACAUCCUGGGGCUGAAGCCGGUCCCAAGGGUAUGGCUGUUCGCCAUUUAAAGUGGUACGCGAGCUGGGUUUAGAACGUCGUGAGACAGUUCGGUCCCUAUCUGCCGUGGACGUUUGAGAUUUGAGAGGGGCUGCUCCUAGUACGAGAGGACCGGAGUGGACGAACCUCUGGUGUUCCGGUUGUCACGCCAGUGGCAUUGCCGGGUAGCUAUGUUCGGAAAAGAUAACCGCUGAAAGCAUCUAAGCGGGAAACUUGCCUCAAGAUGAGAUCUCACUGGGAACUUGAUUCCCCUGAAGGGCCGUCGAAGACUACGACGUUGAUAGGCUGGGUGUGUAAGCGUUGUGAGGCGUUGAGCUAACCAGUACUAAUUGCCCGUGAGGCUUGACC